GACGAACGCUGGCGGCGUGCUUAACACAUGCAAGUCGAACGGACAGGCCCUGCUUUUGUGGGGUGCUCGAGUGGCGAACGGGUGAGUAACACGUGAGUAACCUGCCCUUGACUUUGGGAUAACUUCAGGAAACUGGGGCUAAUACCGGAUAGGAGCUCCUGCUGCAUGGUGGGGGUUGGAAAGUUUCGGCGGUUGGGGAUGGACUCGCGGCUUAUCGGCUUGUUGGUGGGGUAGUGGCAUACCAAGGCUUUGACGGGUAGCCGGCCUGAGAGGGUGACCGGCCAAAUUGGGACUAAGAUACGGCCCAGACUCCUACGGGAGGCAGCAGUGGGGAAUAGUGCACAAUGGGCGGAAGCCUGAUGCAGCAACGCCGUGUGCGGGAUAACGGCCUUCGGGUUGUAAACCGCUUUCGCCUGUGACGAAGCGUGAGUGACGGUAAUGGGUAAAGAAGCACCGGCUAACUACGUG
rnacentral:rRNA from 1 species